rnacentral:rRNA from 1 species
CCAGACUCCUACGGGAGGCAGCAGUGGGGAAUAUUGCACAAUGGGGGGAACCCUGAUGCAGCGACGCCGCGUGAGUGAAGAAGUAUUUCGGUAUGUAAAGCUCUGUCAGCAGGGAAGAAGAAAGACGGUACCUGACCAAGAAGCCCCGGCUAACUACGUGCCAGCAGCCGCGGUAAUACGUAGGGGGCAAGCGUUAUCCGGAUUUACUGGGUGUAAAGGGAGCGUAGACGGUUAUGUAAGUCUGGAGUGAAAGCCCGGGGCCCAACCCCGGGACUGCUUUGGAAACUGUGUAACUGGAGUACAGGAGGGGCAGGCGGAAUUCCUGGUGUAGCGGUGAAAUGCGUAGAUAUCAGGAGGAACACCGGCGGCGAAGGCGGCCUGCUGGACUGAAACUGACGUUGAGGCUCGAAAGCGUGGGGAGCAAACAGGAUUAGAUACCCCUGUACA